AUGCAUUUUGCAAACCGCUUUCAUGAGUUGUUCCAAGGGAGUCAACCAAAAGUGUUGUAUGCAUUUACUGUAGACAGGCUUGAGAUUCAGGUACCCAAGACAAAAGAGUGAAUAAAUUGAUCUGCAGUAGAUGGUGCUUAUCAGAAAUCCAUGCUUUAAGUAGCAAUUUGUUUUUGACACAAAAAGUGCCAUUCUCCAGGUUUUGGAAAUUAUGAAAUCAAAUUUCCUCUGCCCUAUUGUCCAUUGCUAUGAUUUAUUUUAGUUGAAUCCUGUAUUGUGG